ACACGCGCACCUGCGUGAUGACGUCAGGAAGCCAAACGACGCAAAAAAAAAAUGACCGCGAAACUUCGACGAGCGAUUCCUCACAAACUAGAUAGUUUCUAGUCAAAGUGCGACCGAAAAGUGUGCGUGUUUCGCCAAAGUGAAUCCCAACAACGUGAGACGUAAAUGCCUCGAUGGAGCUGGACCGGUGGAUCCGGAGCCUUCAGGUUUCCUCCUGCAGAAUACAGCGACUGGGACCAUUCUGCGCCCCUCCUGCUGGAAGGAAACAAACAACAGAUGGUGCACAAAGAUUUCUCCGCGGAAGUCGAGGCCCGCGGUACGCAGGGCCGUUACUCUACUGAAGAAUCUCCUCCCGUCGCCGUUUUUGCUUCUUUAUGAACGGAGCGCGAACGAGGACAUCGGAUGUCCUUUUGUCUCUGAGCCUCCUCCCGAUCAGCUCUGCUCUCCGUGUCUCUCACCACGAGACGGACAACACUACGCAAACGUUCAGCAGCUCCAGCUCUCGGCGCCAUUCACAGGAUGUGGGAGGUUUCCGAUGUUGGAGGACGGACCGGGUGGUGCCGCCGGAGAUGCUAAAAACGCCGGGUGACCGGAGUCAGUGUUUUCUCCUCUGCGUGUGUUUGUGUUUUUUUUUUUUUUUUUAAAACAAGCGCUACAAGUGAGGAGAACCGAGGCGGGAGAGCAGAGAAGUGUGACAAAUAGCAGCAGAUCAUGCAGAAAAUGUGCGAUGCUAAACAUCAGUUACUGCACAUGGGAGAAACUGUGUGUUUGUGCAGUGUUUGCUGUCCAAGGAGGAGGUUUAGAAUAAAUAAAUAAAUAAAUAAGAAGGGUCGCGCUCACAGCUGGGGACUCUGAAUUGAAUACAUGGCGUCUUUUUCACCGUUCGGAGGAAAUAAAUCUGUCGAGGAGAGCAGAAAAUCUUGCCGGGGUUUUGAGUUUCUUUUGAUGUGUCGUGAUGACGAUUAUGAAAUCCAAUAAAAACUCAUUUAGAAAUUAGGAGGCAGAUCAAUAAGCUUUGCUCUGGUGGAGCGUGUGUGUGCGUGUGUGUGUCGGUCAGCUACUGCCGAGGGAGUGUGUUGCAGCUCUGACCCGGCCAAAGCAAUUGUUACUGAUACUCCUCUGUGGAUUCGGCCUGUUCAACCCUCACAUGGCUGUAAUUUAUAUUUUGUUGACUGCCGGUUUUCAAAGCGUAAUCUGAUUCGAUGGCUUCUCGUUUUUGCUAAUUCCGACUUCUAAUGUUACACCUAAUGUACCCUGAAACCUCUUUAUUGCCCUUUAUUGCUUUGCUGACUUCAUUUAUUUAUUUAGCGUUUGACCACCACGAGAACAAGUGACGUAGCGGAGCCGCGCUGACAGGCGGUGUAAUGGCGGCCUGGCUGAGCUCUCCGCCUCGCCCUUUCCCUGAAACACGAACCGCCGUUUUUCGGCUUCCGUGUUCCGUCUUGGAUUUGACACUUUCAGCGCUGCUUUGAGAUCCAUGAAAUGAAUGUUUGCUUACGAUGGCGCUCCAGGUUUCCUAAUCAUUUGAUUGGUGGACUUCAUCAAAGUAAAAGAAGGACAUUUAGGAUUUCUGAUGGUUUACACUCUGAGGCCUCAUGGACCAGGUGUUUUAACGAACAACAUUGGACACGGUAGAUCCCCUGGAACGGCGUGAUGGGGAUCUAAGUUGUUUUGCUCUUUUCUUUCCUUCAUGCCGACGCAACCCGGGCUCCUGUGGCUCCGAUCGCCGAUACGAUCCGUCCCGAGAGAUUUGGGUUCAAGCCACGGGUC